AUGGCGAACUCCGCGGCGCCACCGCCGCUGGCGGGUCGCCUGGUCCUCUCGUCUGCCCUGCUCCUGCUGCUGCUUCUCCUUAGUCUCAGGCAAGCCCAGGGCCGUGCCACGCCCGGAGGCCCUUCGCUGAGGGCUCAAGCCGCGGCGCUUCUCCACUGGAGAUCAUCCGUCAAGUACUCCGUGAAGCACCAGCUGGGAACCUGGAGAGACGACGGCAUGUACCCGUGCAACUGGACCGGCAUCACUUGCGGGUCACGAAGAGGGACCACGGUGAAGGUUAUCAGAGGAAUUUCCCUUGGCGGUGCCGGCAUUGCAGGGCGGCUGGACGCCCUGAGUUUCCACUCACUCCCUUACCUCGUCAACCUCAACCUCAGCAACAACUACCGUCUCUCUGGUGCCAUCCCUUCUGGCAUCGGCUCUCUUUCCAUACUUUCCACCCUCGACUUCUCCAGUGAUCAGCUUGACGGCAACAUACCUCCGUCGAUCUGCAACCUUGGGAGGCUCACGCACAUGGAUUUCUCCAACAACAAUCUCACCGGCCAAAUCCCUCCUGCCUUGGGUAAUCUCUCAAGACUUGCUUUUCUUUCUCUACUUGGGAAUAGCCUCUCAGGUAGCAUUCCAUGGCAGCUCGGACAGCUUGGGGACAUGAGGCAGAUGCAUUUGGGCUGGAAUAUCUUUUCUGGCCAAAUACCUUCCACCCUCGCAAACCUGACGAACCUCAACUUUCUUGGCCUUUCUGCUAAUCGUCUGUCAGGAUCCAUACCUGAAGAGCUAGGACAAGUCCAAACUCUGCAAAAACUAUACUUGCACAACAAUAGCCUGAAUGGCACAAUUCCAUCCUCGCUUGGAAACCUCACGAUGCUCAGGUUCCUGUAUAUAUAUAUGAACCAGCACACUGGCUCGAUCCCGGUAGAGCUUGGGAUGCUCUCGAGCUUGAUUGAGUUGGAUUUGUCAGAGAACCAUUUGACCGGCUCAGUUCCUUCUAGUGUUGCUGGAAAUCUUACUUCAUUAGUUUAUUUUUCUCUUUCGGGCAACAAUAUAACUGGAUCCAUCCCACAUGAGUUUGGAAAUCUUGUGAAUUUGGAAACACUUGAUUUCGCAGUCAAUUUCAUAGUUGGGUCGGUGCCGUCAAGCAUUGGGAACAUGUCUUCACUCACCCGGAUGUACAUUUCUAGCAAUAAUCUCUCUGGUCGAUUGCCGGCCGAGUUUGGAAAUUUGGCAAAGUUGGAAAAACUUGAUUCCUCCGAAAACCAUUUGUCUGGCUCAAUCCCUCAAAGUUUUGGAAAAUUUGCACGCAUGACAGAAAUGCGACUAUACACGAAUCACCUCUCUGGCACUUUGCCGUCAUCUCUCUCCAACCUUACCAGCUUGGUCCUCAUUGACCUAGGUGGCAACCAGCUGACGGGACACUUGCCAAAUUUUUGCCGAAGUAAAAGACUAAAGAUUUUUGAUGUUAUGGAUAACAAUCUGGAUGGUCCCCUCCCAAAAGGCUUGAAGGAUUGCACUUCACUAACAUCCCUUGGACUUGAUAAUAAUCAGAUUGAGGGAGACAUAACUGAAUCAUUUGGGGUGUAUCCUCAUCUCAAUGACAUUAGUUUAUAUUCAAACAGAUUUGUAGGCCGGCUCUCGCCAAAUUGGGGCUCAUGUCAGAACUUAACAAGUAUUGAUUUUACACAUAACAUGAUAGAAGGCAGUAUACCUUCUGAGCUUGGGGAGCUAAAAAAUCUUGGAUGGCUCGGGCUCAGUUUCAAUAGGUUCAAUAGUGAGAUACCACAAGAAAUUGGCAGGUUAAGUAACUUGUAUUGGAUGGAUUUAAGAAACAAUCAACUAUCUGGCCAGAUCCCUAAGCAAAUUGGGCAACUUCGCAAUCUCGAGAACCUUGAUUUCUCAAGCAACUUUUUAUGUGGUACAAUACCAAAGGAGAUCGGAAAUUGUUUGAGACUGCAGUCAUUAAAUAUGAAUAACAACAGUCUUAAUGGAAGUAUUCCUGGUAGUUUGGUUAAUUUAACUUCCCUGCAAAGCAUGCUUGAUCUUAGCAUGAACAGUCUCAGUGGACCACUGCCAUCGGAACUUAACAGACUAGAGAUGUUGAUGUCUGCAAAUUUCUCACACAAUCAAUUCAGUGGUGCCAUCCCUGUAUCGAUUGCGAGCAUGCAAAGCCUAUCAAUAUUUGAUCUGUCAUACAACUUCCUAGAAGGAUCUGUUCCAAAAGGGAUCCACAAUGCAUCAGCUGAAUGGUUUCUCCACAACAAAGGUCUUUGUGGAGACCUUGUUGGCAUGGCUCCUUGCAAUUUACCCAAUGCGGAUCAUACACGAGAGCAUCAAAAGAUUGUACUAUCAGUCAUUCUUUCUAUGUUCGCCGCUACUAUUUCAGUAGCAACAUGUAUAAUUUUCAUAUUUAUUUGCCGCACGAAGGUAUCAUCAAAAACUGAUGAUGUGAGCAAAAGGGAUGUAUUCUCUGUAUGGGGCUUUGAUGGUAGAAUAGUAUUUCAGGAUAUUAUCAAUGCAACCGACAAUUUUGAUGAGAAACAUUGUAUUGGAGAGGGGUCGUACGGUAGUGUUUAUAAGGCAGAACUUCAAGAUGGACAAGUGGUUGCAGUAAAGAAACUCUAUGCAGGCGACGAAGAGGCACAUGAUGAAGAAAGAUUCCAGCAUGAGAUUGAAAUGUUAACAAAAAUCCGCCAACGCAGCAUCGUCAAGUUGUAUGGCUAUUGUACUCAUCCACAGUGCAGGUUCCUUCUAUGCGAGUUCAUAGAGAGAGGAAAUGUAGCUUCUAUCUUGAGCAACGAAGAACUAGCAAUCCAGUUCAACUGGGAAAGGAGAAUAGCUCUAAUAAGAGAUGUGGCUCAAGCCAUCACUUACCUCCAUCAUGAUGUUCACCCACCCAUAAUUCACAGGGACAUCACAAGCAGAAACAUCUUACUAGAUGCUGACUACAAAGCAUUUGUCUCGGAUUUUGGUAUUGCAAGAAUGUUAAAACCCGAUUCAUCGAAUUGGAGCGCACUAGCGGGGACCUAUGGCUACAUUGCACCUGAAUGUUCAUACACUUCUCUAGUCACAGAGAAAUGUGAUGUGAAUAGCUUUGGUGUUGUGGUGCUUGAGGUGUUGAUGGGCAAACAUCCAGGAGACAUGCAAAAUUUUCUUUCUUCACUUGGUGACCAGUUGCAUCUGGAACAAAUUUUGGACAAACAACUUCCACAACCUGAAGCUGAGGAGGCAAAAGACUUGAGACGGUGUAUCUCUGUGGCGUUUGAGUGCCUAACUCCUUCACCCAAAGAAAGGCCAACUAUGCAGAAAGCUUAUCGAGAUCUUUCCAUCUGA
rnacentral:rRNA from 1 species